rnacentral:rRNA from 1 species
UAAGACGUAGGGCGCGAGCGUUGUCCGGAUUUAUUGGGCGUAAAGAGCUCGUAGGCGGCUUGUCGCGUCGACUGUGAAAUCUCAGGGCUCAACUCUGACAUUGCAGUCGAUACGGGCAGGCUAGAGUUCGGUAGGGGAGACUGGAAUUCCUGGUGUAGCGGUGAAAUGCGCAGAUAUCAGGAGGAACACCGAUGGCGAAGGCAGGUCUCUGGGCCGAUACUGACGCUGAGGAGCGAAAGCGUGGGGAGCGAACAGGAUUAGAUACCCUGGUAGUCCACGCUGUAAACGUUGGGCGCUAGGUGUGGGGGGCCUCUCCGGUUUCCUGCGCCGCAGCUAACGCAUUAAGCGCCCCGCCUGGGGAGUACGGCCGCAAGGCUA